rnacentral:rRNA from 1 species
AACGAACGCUGGCGGCAGGCCUAACACAUGCAAGUCGAACGCCGUAGCAAUACGGAGUGGCAGACGGGUGAGUAACGCGUGGGAACAUACCCUCCGGUUCGGAAUAACUCAGGGAAACUUGAGCUAAUACCGGAUACGUCCAAGGUUUUAAUCGGCCUCGGAGAAAGAUUUAUCGCUGGAGGAUUGGCCGCGUCUGAUUAGCUUGUUGGUGAGGUAAUGGCUCACCAAGGCGACGAUCAGUAGCUGGUCUGAGAGGAUGAUCAGCCACAUUGGGACUGAGACACGGCCCAAACUCCUACGGGAGGCAGCAGUGGGGAAUAUUGGACAAUGGGCGAAAGCCUGAUCCAGCGAUGCCGCGUGUGUGAAG